rnacentral:rRNA from 1 species
GGAGUCUAGCAUGUGCGCGAGUCAUUGGGACUAUAUUAACUAAACCUAAAGGCGAAAUGAAAGUGAAGGCGCGCCUCGCGCGCGCCAAGGGAGGAUGGGCGAGGGCCCGAGGCAACCCCGACGGCUUCCGAGCCCCGCACUCCCGGGGCGUCUCGUUCUCAUCGCGAGAAGAGGCGCACCCAGAGCGUACACGCUGGGACCCGAAAGAUGGUGAACUAUGCCUGGUCAGGACGAAGUCAGGGGAAACCCUGAUGGAGGUCCGUAGCGAUUCUGACGUGCAAAUCGAUCGUCGGAACUGGGUAUAGGGGCGAAAGACUAAUCGAACCAUCUAGUAGCUGGUUCCCUCCGAAGUUUCCCUCAGGAUAGCUGGCGCUCGCUUUUUGCGAGUCUCAUCCGGUAAAGCGAAUGAUUAGAGGCAUUGGGGUCGAAACGGCCUCAACCUAUUCUCAAACUUUAAAUGGGUGAGAUCUCCGGCUUGCUUGAAAGUUGAAGCCGCGAGAUCGGAUCAGAGUGCCAAGUGGGCCACUUUUGGUAAGCAGAACUGGCGCUGUGGGAUGAACCAAACGGGGAGUUAAAGCGCCUAAAUCGACGCUUAUGGGAUACCAUGAAAGGCGUUGGUAACUUAAGACAGCAGGACGGUGGCCAUGGAA